ACAACGGCUCAGCGGUUGAACACUCGCUUCACAAGCGAUAGGUCCGUGGUUCAAACCCACUCUCGUUCCA